rnacentral:rRNA from 1 species
CCUACGGGUGGCAGCAGUGGGGGAUAUUGGACAAUGGGGGGAACCCUGAUCCAGCGACGCCGCGUGAGUGAAGAAGUAUUUCGGUAUGUAAAGCUCUGUCAGCAGGGAAGAAAGAAAUGACGGUACCUGACCAAGAAGCCCCGGCUAACUACGUGCCAGCAGCCGCGGAAAUACGUAGGGGGCGAGCGGUUUACGGAGUUACUGGGUGCAAAGGGCGCGAAGACGGUUAAGUAAGUGUGGAGUGAAAGGCCGGGGCCUAACCCCGGGACUGCACUGGAAACUAUUGAACUUGAGUGCAGGAGAGGUAAGCAGAAUUCCUAGUGUAGCGGUGAAAUGCGUAGAUAUUAGGAGGAACACCAGUGGCGAAGGCGGCUUACUGGACUGUAACUGACGUUGAGGCUCGAAAGCGUGGGGAGCAAACAGGAUUAGAUACCCCAGUAGUC